rnacentral:lncRNA from 1 species
CUGAUGUAACAGAUUGCCAAGGCCUGUCGAUGUUACCUUCUAAAGAUCUCCUGAACCUGCCCACUUUUCUCCAGCGCCCACACCCUCGCCACACUAGUCCAGCCACAAUCUUCUGUUGCCUAGAUGACCCCAGCAGCUCCCUCCCCGCCUGCCUCCUCCAUUCUGCUUUCACUUUUGUCUCCUCUACCCAGCAGCCAGAGUGAGCAUAUAAAAUGCAGUUCUGAUCCUGUCACCUCUCUGCUUAAAACUCUUCAGAGGUUCACCAUCGCUUCCAGAAAAAGAUCAAUACUCCUGACGUGGCAACCUGUCGAGACUCAGGACCGCUAGGAAAUCAGCUCUUGUUUACCCCUCUAUCCAUUACACUACGAUCCAGCUGGGUUUAGGCAUCACUUCCUCUGAGCAAUCCUCCCUGAUGUCAUGAGGCAGUGCUGAGUGCCUUCUCUGGACCCUCUGUUUACUUGCCUGUUAAAUCCUGAACAUCUGGAAGGGAGUCGUGUUCAGCAACAUAUCUACGCCUUGCAGCACGGUGCCUGGCCUGCAGCUGGUGUUCCGUAAACAGCUGCUGACUGACGGGAUGCAUCGAUGUGUUUCCCAAGACAUCCAGGAGAGGAUAUUGGCGCAAACAGUGAGUCAUCACUCUCCACCCACCUUCCAGACUCCCUCCUCCAUGCAUAUCCAGCUCUUCUCAACCUGGGGCUCCCUUAGAAAAUCCAGACAAAACAAUUGCCACAGAGCCAACAUCUUCCUUUUCCCUUUGUCUUAUGGUAAAAACAUAUUUGUAGAAGCAAAUCCAAUAAUAAAAGAUUAGCACAUAAAUACACUGAAAAGUAAGAUCACUGACAAAUACACCAAGUGUCGGCAAACAGUUCUCAGUGUCUUGGCACAUGCGGAGCCCAUGUUGCAGGUGGCAUCAGGCAGACAUGGGGCCUAAUCAGAACUCCCACUGAAGCUGGACGGCCUUGAGUCAGCAAUGUUCUAGUUAAUAUCUCUCCUCCAUUUGUCCCCCCGCUCUGCAUUUCCUGGUUUUUUCAACAGAGUCAUCUGGGGAAAACCCACACAUUUUAUGAUAUUUUGUCUUCCCCUUCCUCUCUGUUAAAA